rnacentral:rRNA from 1 species
AUUGAACGCUGGCGGCAUGCCUUACACAUGCAAGUCGAACGGCAGCACGGGAGCAAUCCUGGUGGCGAGUGGCGAACGGGUGAGUAAUAUAUCGGAACGUGCCCAGUAAUGGGGGAUAGCCCGGCGAAAGCAGUUAAUACCGCAUACGACCUACGGGUGAAAGCGGGGGAUCGCAAGACCUCGCGUUAUUGGAGCGGCCGAUAUCAGAUUAGCUUGUUGGCGGGGUAAAGCCCACCAAGGCGACGAUCUGUAGCUGGUCUGAGAGGACGACCAGCCACACUGGGACUGAGACACGGCCCAGACUCCUACGGGAGGCAGCAGUGGGGAAUUUUGGACAAUGGGCGCAAGCCUGAUCCAGCCAUGCCGCGUGUGGGAAGAAGGCCUUCGGGUUGUAAACCACUUUUGUCAGGGAAGAAACGGCUCUUACUAAUAUUAGGAGCUAAUGACGGUACCUGAAGAAUAAGCACCGGCUAACUACGUGC